rnacentral:rRNA from 1 species
AUUGAACGCUGGCGGCAUGCUUUACACAUGCAAGUCGAACGGUAACAGGUUAAGCUGACGAGUGGCGAACGGGUGAGUAAUGCAUCGGAACGUGCCCGGUCGUGGGGGAUAACGCAGCGAAAGCUGCGCUAAUACCGCACACGAUCUAAGGAUGAAAGCGGGGGACCGUAAGGCCUCGCGCGAUCGGAGCGGCCGAUGUCAGAUUAGGUAGUUGGUGGGGUAAAGGCUAACCAAGCCAACGAUCUGUAGCUGGUCUGAGAGGACGACCAGCCACACUGGGACUGAGACACGGCCCAGACUCCUACGGGAGGCAGCAGUGGGGAAUUUUGGACAAUGGCCGAAAGCCUGAUCCAGCAAUGCCGCGUGCAGGAAGAAGGCCUUCGGGUUGUAAACUGCUCUUGUACGGAGCGAAAAGGUCUCCUCUAAUACAGGGGGCUCAUGACGGUACCGUAAGAAUAAGCACCGGCUAACUACGUGCCAGCAGCCGCCGUAA